rnacentral:rRNA from 1 species
AACGAACGCUGGCGGCAUGCCUAACACAUGCAAGUCGAACGAGAUCUUCGGGUCUAGUGGCGCACGGGUGCGUAACGCGUGGGAAUCUGCCCUUUGGUUCGGAAUAACAGUUGGAAGCGACUGCUAAUACCGGAUGAUGACGAAAGUCCUAAGAUUUAGAGCCAGAGGAUGAGCCCGCGUAGGAUUAGCUAGUUGGUGUGGUAAAGGCGCACCAAGGCGACGAUCCUUAGCUGGUCUGAGAGGAUGAUCAGCCACACUGGGACUGAGACACGGCCCAGACUCCUACGGGAGGCAGCAGUGGGGAAUAUUGGACAAUGGGCGAAAGCCUGAUCCAGCAAUGCCGCGUGAGUGAUGAAGGCCUUAGGGUUGUAAAGCUCUUUUACCCGGGAUGAUAAUGACAGUACCGGGAGAAUAAGCUCCGGCUAACUCCGUGCCAGCAGCCGCAGUAA